UACGGAGGGUGCAAGCGUUAAUCGGAUUUAUUGGGCGUAAAGGGCGCGUAGGCGGAAAAGGUAGUCAGAUGUGAAAUUCCGGAGCUUAACUCCGGAGCUGCAUCCGAAACUCCUUUUCUAGAGGGUAGGCGGAGAAAACGGAAUUCCACAUGUAGCGGUGAAAUGCGUAGAUAUGUGGAAGAACACCGGUGGCGAAAGCGGUUUUCUAGCUUAUUCCAGACGCUGAGGCGCGAAAGCAAGGGGAGCAAACAGG
rnacentral:rRNA from 1 species